rnacentral:rRNA from 1 species
UCUUCGGUCUUCGUUCUCCUUGCCAAGUCAGGAGUAGCUCUAGCCGUCUCUCUCUCUCUCUCUCUCUCGUUUUCUACUUGCCGCCGCCGUCCUUCAAGCCGCCACCCGCCGGCGGCUGCCCCUGAGGCAGCGACCGGACCAGUAGCCACCAGCACCAGCAGAGGGAGGAGCGCCCCCGGAGGCAGCAGGUGUUGCAGAUGUUCGGGCUGUACUGGUAAGGCGGCCACCCUCCUCCACCGCCACUACUGCCGUUCGUCUCAACUCGACCAAAGCACCUCUCCCUAGCGCCUCUGCCUAAGACAAGGAAGCGUUCUUGGUACAAGACGCAGACCCACGGGGGUUGGCAAAGACAGUCGUGUCGUGAGACGACGAGCAUGGGUGAGCUUAGUUUGAUUGUAACAUACUAAAUACAUACAAUAAGUUUCCCUAAAUGAAGAACGUCCUCUAUAAUACAAGAAUAAACUGUACUGUAAGUUAG